rnacentral:rRNA from 1 species
UAGGGAAUCUUCCGCAAUGGACGAAAGUCUGACGGAGCAACGCCGCGUGAGUGAAGAAGGAUUUCGGUUCGUAAAACUCUGUUGUUAGGGAAGAAAAAAUGUAUAGUAACUAUAUACAAAAGAGACGGUACCUAACCAGAAAACCACGGCUAACUACGUGCCAGCAGCCGCGGUAAUACGUAGGUCCCGAGCGUUGUCCGGAUUUAUUGGGCGUAAAGCGAGCGCAGGCGGUUAGAAAAGUCUGAAGUGAAAGGCAGUGGCUCAACCAUGGUAGGCUUUGGAAACUGUUUAACUUGAGUGCAGAAGGGGAGAGUGGAAUUCCAUGUGUAGCAGUGAAAUGCGUAGAUAUAUGGAGGAACACCGGUGGCGAAAGCGGCUCUCUGGUCUGUAACUGACGCUGAGGCUCGAAAGCGUGGGGGGCGAACAGG